UUUUUUUUUUUUUUUUUUUUUUUUAUUAUACCUCCGAACGGAUUUGAAAAUUUUGAAAUCCGUAAACCAAUUUAAAAAAAAAAAAAAUUGGCCUAAAGGAAAAAGUAGGUAAAAAUAGCUACCUGGAGUAGGUUUAAAUACCUACAGACUGUGGACAAAAGUAUUUGCACGGGCGAUGGUGGCCAAUUUGUUUAUCGAAAACGCUUGACGGUAAACAAACAUGUUUUUGGAGUGUCUGAACAGGACAAAUAACUUGUAAAUGCAAAAAUAUUGUAAAUAAACAAUUUAUUUCUAUUAAUAAUCAAUAAAGAUAAAUAAAAGAAUGUCAAGUACCUUAGUACUUUCUUGAUAUACCCUCAGGCCCUUUGAACUUGGCGCACUUGUUGUGGAAGGGUGCAUGGAGAUUUUGUAUAAUUUCUGUAAAUGAAGUCCAGAUUUCCAGAAUUUUGUGAUACAGUUCAUCACAAGAAUUUAAUGUACAAAUGUAAUAUUGAAGUUUUCUUUUAAUUAUCAGCCAAAUGUUUUCUACGGGGCAUAAAUCAGGUGUACAUGUAUGUGUGGGCCACUUCAGUGCUGGAAUUUGUUUGUCAGUUUUGUAAUUGAUUGAAGACGAGAUCAAUGAACAGGUGUAUGGUCAUCCAUAAACAGAUAAUUGCCAUCUUCAAAGAGUUUUGCUAUACAGGCCACAAGUUAUCUACGUAUUUUUCAGAGUUAUUCAUGUUGCUAUAUCGUAUAUGUAUUGACUCUGCAAAGAGUACCAACGUCAUGACACGUAAUGCAUCCCCAAAUAUUAUACCAGUUUCGGGGGGAAAUACAGUCCGACAGUCAAGAUUUAAGUCACUUCUUCUCCAUGUAUAUACUCGACAGUAUUUUCCAAAGAUAAUCUGACACUUAUCAGAAGAAAUGACCAUUUUCCAUUCAUUUUCCACGGUCCAGUUUACUUUACCCGCACACCAUUGCACACAUUUUACAUGACUGACAACUCGGACCGUAUUUUCUUGAUACAAAUGCAUAUUUAGUAUCCAUUUCAGUCUUAAACAUCGCCAAAUAGUUUUCUUUGAAAGAUUUGCAUUGUUAUUUUCAUUAUAUUUUUUUGUAACGUCCGACUGGUCUUUUUCUAUCCAACUGUGUCUAUCUAACAAGUCUCCGUUUUGCACGUGCACUCACUAAUUUCUUUCGUCCACUUCUUUGUUAAUUAAUUUUCUGUUGUAUCUCGCUUUCGAAAUUUAUUCCAAGCACUAUACACAGUUGAUAUAGAAAUUCUAAAUAAUUUUCCAACUUCCCCGAAACUUUUACAGCCCUGAACUAAUGCUACAAUGUUUUCUUAGCAGCCUAUACCGAGUUCCGAUGUUUACAACCCAUGUUUUCUAAUCACUAUCUUGCAUGUAUAAACAGAGUUGCAGACUACAACAAACAUCAUUACAUCACAUUAUUGACCAACUUUUUUAAUACAUCAUCGGUUAAAGGAUAACUCAUGUCUGUGCAAAGAGAGAUAACCUGCAAUGUAUGAUACUCGAUAAACACAUUUGAAAAAUGACGCGAUCGUGCGAAUACUUUUGUCCACAGUCUGUAGGUAGUUAUAAGUCUUUGGACUGGACCUGAUUAAGUCUUUAUACAAGUCUAUGGUUUGCCCCAAUUUGGGGCAUUAUUGUUAUUGAUGGAAAAAUACUGAAUGUCAAAGCUACAUAUAAAAAAAUUACAAAGGUAUAUGUAUGGCCAAAAAAAAUUAAUCAAUAUUUUCUCAGGCCAAAAAUUUCAAAAUUCAAUGCGGCAGGCAGGGUUUUUUUUUUUUUUUUGAAGCCAAAGUAAUCUUUUUUCCUUGUCAGUCAACAAAAUAAUGAUAUCAACCAAUUCUUACUUUUUUGUAGUCUAAUAUCAAUUAUAAUACUUACUCAACUUAAAAUAGUAUUAUUCCAAUCAUUUUAUAAAAAGUUAAUCCAUAGAAUACUGUUGAACAAAAAAUAUAUUGUUUAUUAAAUAAAAACGUCUUUUUAUUAGCAUAUAUGAAAAGGGGAAUAACUCAAUUUUCUUUAUCAACUCGGAAAAAUAGAAAAUUGAGUUAUUUCCCUUUUCAAUAUGGCAAUAAAAUUGAUCAAUGCGGCAGUGUUUAACCUGAUGCGGCGGUGCCUGAGAAACUAUUGAUUAAUUUUGUUUGGCCUAAAUAAGUACUUUUUUUUUUUAACUGCAGACAAGGGACGUAACUUGUGCAUAGUGUUAAUAGGGGUAUUGUCUGGGUAAUCUAUUGACUAUUGAGGAGAAUUUGAUGGCUCAUAAUCUUCUACAAUUUCUGUACAACAUGAUUUAUGUAACAUAUUGUGUACAAUUUGUAUCAGAAAUCAUUUGUACCAACAUCAUUAUAUCCCCCGCAACAAAGUUGUGGGGGGGGGGGGGGGGGGGGGGGGGGUUACUGGAAUCAGGUUGUCUGUCUGUAGACACUAGACACAAUGGUUUCGGGGCUCUUAAGCGUGAUCCUUUCCACCUACAGUCACCAUAUCAUACAUAUGGACUACCCAUGGGAAGAAGAUGUUUCCUAUCGAAUUUGGGGUCCAAAGGUCAAGUGCACUGGACAUCGAAGUAGCAAUGUGGUUUCAUCUCUCAUCCAUUUCUCCCCAGAGAAGAGACUACCUAAGGUUUUGUCAUGCCCAUUCUUUUUUACUCAUGAAAGUGGCAAUUUAUACCUAUUAACAACACCCUUUGGGAGAUUGGGGUAAGCGGGGGUUGUUCUUAGUGAGCAUUGCUCACAGUAACUCUUGUUGAACAUGAAAUUGUGUGGAGUUUAUGCAAAUUAUAUUUUAAGCUCAACAAUGCUGCCAAGUUUCAGGAGCAUAAUACAUACUGUGUAUGUUACAUUGACCAUUGAGAGUAAAAUCAUGGCAACCAAGACUCUAACGUUAUUAGACAAACUUGAAAAUCAAUGGACAUAUUGAAGACCUGGAAAACAAACAUCCACAAAACAAGCAACAUGUCAGAAUAACAAAAUGAUAUAUGAGCACACAAACUAGACCAUAAAGUAAAAACUGCACUUUUAGAGAGGUUUCUGACAGUUCUACAAGUACAUCACUAAUUGGGUUCUGUCAAGGAACACAAUCAAUAUAUAAAAACAAGAGUUUUGAUAUUCAAUAUAUUUUCAGAGAAAAAAACCUACCAACUGACCCAAUAUUUUUUAUGACCCUCGGGCUAUGGCAGACCAACAUUUUUUUAAUAUGGCCUUGUGGAAGAUAUAAUGUUGCUAGAUGUAAAUAAGUUCUUGACUGUUGAAAAGUAAUUAUACUCCACGCAACAAAGUUGCAGAGGGUAUAAUGUUUUUGACCUGUCCGUCAGUCCC